GCCAGGUAUGGUGGUGCAUGCCUAUAGUCACAACUACUAGGGAGGCUGAAGCAGGAGGAUUACUUGAGCUCAAGAGUUCUGAACUAUAGUGAGCUAUGCUACACCAAGUUCUGGUGUUUGCACCAAGUUUAGCAUCAAUAUGGUGACAUGCUGGGAGUGGGGGACCACCUUUAGGUUGCCUAAGGAGAGGCGAGGCAAAUUAACCUAGAUUGAAAACUGAGCAGGUCAAAACUCCUGUGCUGAUUGUAGUGGGAUCACCCCUUGUGAAUGGCCACUGCAUCCCAGCCUGGGCGUCAUAGUGAGACGCUGUGUCU
rnacentral:SRP_RNA from 1 species